GGCCCGGUAGCGGAUGGUUCGCACCCGCUUUCAAUAUCUGAUUGGAUUGUAUGUGUAUGCAGGACUCGCUCGUUCGAAUCGAGCCCGGGUCA